rnacentral:rRNA from 1 species
UACGUAGGUGGCAAGCGUUGUCCGGAUUUAUUGGGUUUAAAGGGUGCGUAGGCGGCCCUGUAAGUCAGUGCUGAAAUAUCCCGGCUUAACCGGGAGGGUGGCAUUGAUACUGCGGGGCUAGAGUACAGAUGAGGUAGGCGGAAUUGACGGUGUAGCGGUGUAAUGCUUAGAUAUCGUCAAGAACACCUAUAGCGAAGGCAGCUUACUAGGCUGUAACUGACGCUGAGGCACGAAAGUGUGGGGAUCAAACAGG